rnacentral:rRNA from 1 species
CCUACGGGUGGCAGCAGUGGGGAAUAUUGGACAAUGGGCGAAAGCCUGAUCCAGCCAUGCCGCGUGUGUGAAGAAGGCCUUCGGGUUGUAAAGCACUUUCAGUGGGGAAGAAAGCCUUGGGGCUAAUACCCUCGAGGAAGGACAUCACCCACAGAAGAAGCACCGGCUAACUCCGUGCCAGCAGCCGCGGUAAUACGGAGGGUGCGAGCGUGAAUCGGAAUUACUGGGCGUAAAGCGCGCGUAGGCGGUCUGAUAAGCCGGUUGUGAAAGCCCCGGGCUCAACCUGGGAACGGCAUCCGGAACUGUCAGGUUAGAGUGCAGGAGAGGAAGGUAGAAUUCCCGGUGUAGCGGUGAAAUGCGUAGAGAUCGGGAGGAAUACCAGUGGCGAAGGCGGCCUUCUGGACUGACACUGACGCUGAGGUGCGAAAGCGUGGGUAGCAAACAGGAUUAGAUACCCUGGUAGUC